ACAGGGAGGAGGUACAGAGGAUCAUUCUACAAGAAGGUCUUUGCUCACCACACAGCAUUACACCUAACUCUCCCCAAAAAGCAGAACGAUGUCCAAGUUUUCGACAUUAGGUUUCCUUGUCGCUGUUUUGGCGGUAUGUGCCCUGGACCACCUGACCACCUCGGCCUCUGUGGGUCGCGUGGUCAGACAGAUCUCCAACGGCUCUUCCCCCAACAGCACACACAGAUGUAUUCCUGACUUGACGUUCCACUACAACGAGACCACCGGAAGCUGGCAAGCCGUUCUUCCACCUGUACUCUCCAACGGAUCCGAUUCCAACGUUAACAGUAAUGAUACUUGGAGCCCAAGAAACUUCACCGAGU